CAAGUCAAAAAAAAACACUGUCAGUUUAAAGAGGCAAAGCAAAAUUAAGUUCCUCUUCAGGAACUCGAGCUGCGUCGAACGCUUUGGGGAACGCGUCUAGCGUGAGCGACUCUGAAUAUCGUGUGAAAUCAGUCCAAUGAAAGAGUGUGACGUCACGGGCGGGGUGACGUAAGCGACCAGGAAGCUAUAAAAGCACAUGCCGCGCAGCUGGCAUCAGCUUCGCGUCUUCAGCAAGCGCUCUGUGUGUCAAUGUCCUCAGUUUGUCUUGUGAGUCUUAUUUACUGUUGUCUGUCCAGUAGAGCUCCAAGCAAUGUCAAAGUGCAAGGCGAAAUCUAAGCAUUCUAAGGGCGAAUCCGGAUCGCAUUUCAGACUGUGUGUCCCUCCCUGCCCGCGCUACAUUACGAGCGGGGAUACACACAGUCUGUGCGUGGUCUGCCUGGGUUCGAAGCACGCCGAGUCGGCUCUCGAGGGGGCCGACUGUCCGCAUUGUGAGAGGAUGUCGGUGCGGCUGCUUCGUUCCCGGAGGGCUCUCUUUGAGGAGGGAGCCUUCGCCAGCGUUCCCCGCGGUGCUGGCCCCGCUUCUGCCGAGGCAGAACGGCAGCUGCACUCGUGGGGUUCGCAAGUGGAUCUGACAGAGGGAAUGGAGACGGGCGAGUCCCUAUCUCCUUCCACUUCUGCCAGAUCCGGCGCCCAAUCUCUGGAGUCGGAAGCACGCUCUGCGGUUCCUUCCACCCAGGGAGAGGGAUCGACACUCCGCCUCUCUUCCUCCGAGGAGGUCGAUGUGGAGUCUGUCGACAGGGAUUCGCCACCCCACUCGCCUAGGUAUGAGGAGCUCUUGGAGGUGGUGACUCGUGCGGUGGCCAAGUUGAGUCUUGACUGGCCCGCCGAGAAAACAACCGAACCGCAGAAAAGCAAGCUCGACGAACGCUUUCUGCGGGCGAGUCAGCCACCUCCUUGCCGGGGCCUUCCUUUUUUUCCCGAUCUACAUGAAGAGAUCGCUAGAUCGUGG
ensembl:lncRNA